ensembl:lncRNA
UGUAUUGCCACUAGUGGCAAGUUCGCCAGAGGUUUUUUUCUGACAAACAAUUCCCUCAAGGUUUCAUUUUAAUCUGGCAACAAUAUUUAUUGCCACUAGUAGUUACAAACAGAAGUUGUUAGUGGUGAACACAUGAGUUCCAAGACCAGUAACUGUAGAUGACCAGUCAAUGGGAGAAGAAAAAUCUGUUGGAAAAUGGAAACAAAGUUAUCUAGCUACCUACCGAAGUGGUUAAAUGGAUACCCUUCCCCUAACCAUGGUGUUCGAAGAGGGUGUAUUGGGAGGAGGAUUCAUCAAUAAAUACCCUGGAACAAUGUUUGUGGUGCACUCACUCAUGACACUUUUCUAAGUGAUAAAUCAUCUUCAAGCUUAAUAAGCAAUCAGUCACAAGGGAAAAAAAUACAGAUUGAGCCCUUCAAUCAAACUGAGGACAGAGAAAUAUGUGUGCACCAG